rnacentral:tRNA from 1 species
CCUCUUUAUGGAGAACCAAUCCAUUUUCAAAUCUAGUUGGGAUACUAUUCCCAAGAAAUGG